rnacentral:tRNA from 3 species
GGUAAGGUGCCCGAGCGGCCAAAGGGGGCGGACUGUAAAUCCGCUGGCAGAAUGCCUUCGAAGGUUCAAAUCCUUCCCUUACCACCA